rnacentral:tRNA from 1 species
UCCCUGGUGGUCUAGAGGCUAAGACUCCUCACUCCCAAUGCAGGGGGCCUGGGUUCAAUCCCUGGUCAGGAAA